AUAAAAUUCCUCAUUCACAACGUUGUGUUACGCUAGUAAAGAGCAACGUAAAACGCGUUAAAGUUUUUGAAAACCACAAAAACCAAAACAAUUUUUGCGAAAUUAAAACGAAACCAAAAAAAAAAAAAAAUAUGUUUUAAACUACAAGAAAUAUUGUAAUAAAAAAAAGAGAUUAAAAUAUUGUGUUUAAAAAGUGUUUUAAUUAUAAAACAAGAAAAAUAAAAACAACAAAAUUUUAAACCCUAAUUAAAAAUAAAAUUUUAAUGUUGUAGUAGUUGUGGCUUGCCAAAAUAUAAUUGUGUUCUUUAAUAUUGUUUGUGUUGCUUCGUUUUGUAUGCAGUGGCUAAAUAACGGUCUUAAACUUAAGAAAACUAACUAAAAGUUAAAAAAAGGAAGAAAAAGAAACAACAACAACAGCUAAUUACACAAGCGUCUUAAAUUACUUAAGAAAGAGGGAAAAUAUCCUUAUAAUCCUAAACUCACAAAAUGAGUUAAAACUUUAGUGCUACAACGUCGAUAAGAAUUUCAUGUUUAUUAAAUAUCCAAAAGUUUGCUAACCCAAUUUAACGUAUACUUUUGGGGAGUUACUAGCUUCUCAUGGACGUAAUGUUGGCAAACAGGAUAUUUUUGUUGCAAAAUUAAUUAAAUAAUUUAAUGGGUCAUCAUAUUAAACUAUACAGUGUGAAAUAAAUUAAAAACUAGUAAAUUUUGUUUUUAAUAAUUCACUAUAUAAGUUAAGGUAUCUUUGAAUAGCAGAGCAUAUUUAUAGAAAACAAUAUGUUAAAAACAAAUCUAAAAAUUAAAAAAUAAAAAAUAAUUAAAAAACAUAUUUAACACGAAGUAACUUUAAUUUACAAUUAAAAGAAUUACAACAUUCAAAAAUGUUUUCACAACAAUUUGCAUUGUUUGAGGCAAUAAAAAUGCACAAAAUAAUAUUUUGAAAAUAUAAAAAUUUUCCACAUACCAACAGUUCUAGGACAAUUUGCAGUUCAAAACUACAAUUUGUAAAAACCAAACAUUUUAAUCAACUCUAAAACAAACAUACCUUAAGGCGUUGUAACAAUACAAACCAAAAAGUAACUAAGAAAUACUACCAAACAUCUAUAUACAUAUUUUUAUAAGAAAAUAUGAAAAUUUGCUGUGAGAAGAACAAAAACUCAAAGUACUUAUAGCAUAUCUAAAGGAUUGUUAGCAAAAUUAAUAAAGUUGUUAAAACAAACUAAAGUGAAAAUUGUUUAUAUAAAAAAUGUGAAAAAUGUCAUAAACAAUUAUGUUGAAAAAGUAAAUUUUUAGAGAAAAAAUAAUUAAAAACACAGAAAAAUUUUCUAAAACCUAUCAACAGAUAUUUAAAGUGGAAGUUCAAAAAUAUAAGAAAAAAAUUUUCUUCAAAAACUAUUUUGCAACCUUAAGCUACAAUUAUAAAUUUAUUUAUUGAAAGCAAAGAAAUAUACAAACGUGAGUUGAUAUCAUAUAAAGCAUACAAAUAGGAUUUUCUUAAAAGUGGAAUUUUUUAAGUGCUAUAUAUAUAAAAUGCAAUACAUAAUUCUAUAUUAAAUAAAAUAUAUAAAAAAUUAUUAUAUAUAAAUAAUUAGCUUUCAAAAAUCACAUAAAAUAAUAUUUGAAAUUAAUUUAAAAAUAUAAAAAUAUGCAAUUAACUGCAAAUUGUAAAUAAUAAAUAUUAAAAGUCCCCAGGAUUUGCCAAUAAACUUCUAUAAAAUUUAAAUAAAGUCCAUUAACAAUAAAUUUUACAAAAUCCUUAAAAGUACAUACAUACAUAUGUAAUUAGAGUAUAUAUUAUAUGUCAAAUUCUAUGAAUAAAACUAAAGCAUAACCACAGGCUCAAUUUAAAAUAUUAAAUUUUAAGCAACAAUUAAGGUGUUAAAUAAAUUCUAAAUAAAAUAAUAUAAAAAUUAAUUCUAAAUUUAACAAAAAAAAAAAAAGUAAAUAAAGAAAAUAUAGUGCAAUAUAAUAAAAUAAUUUUAUAUCACAUAAUAAAAUCUUCUACGGCAAAUACAUAGAUACAAACAUACUAUUCAACAGAGGAGAAUCUACAUACAAACUCAACAUACAACACAGGUAAAUGUUAAUAUAAAAUACUAAUGGCCAUACAAGUCCGUAAGUUCAUAUAUUAACGUUUUUUUUUUAACAAAUAAAAACUAAAGCAUAUUUUUAGGCUAUAAAAUAUUUUAUGACAUAAAGCAUAUUUUAAGACAUUUAAUAUAUAAAAACUUAAAACUCGUUAACUUUUACUGACAUACUAUACCCACAAACAUAAAUCAUUGCCAACAUCCAUCUAAAAAAAAUAUAUUGAUGUUUAAAGGAAAACGAAAAACAAUUACCUUAAAUAUUACGACACAUAAAAGUCAAGUAAAGUCAACUGGCUAACAAUAGCAGCAAUUUAUGGAUUUACAUAAUAUUGCAAAAAAAGAAGAAAUUACUAAAGGUUACAAACUAAUCUUUGGCUAGAGAAUAUGUAUAAUAAAAAAUGUCAUUGGAAUGGAUAGUAAAAAAUAUUGAAUUUUUACUAAAAGAAUUUAAUAUAGAUAUCUAGACGACUGACAUAACUCAAAAAAAUAUAGUUUGGAGAAAAAUGGCUUGUAAUGUUUUAGGAUAUUUUACUAUUUCUAAAAUAACUUUUAAACAAAUCAUGGAAUUUAAAAAAUAAUUCUAAAGGUUGAUAUGUUUCUC